GAACUGGUGGCCCCAGGUGGCAUCAUGGCGUAUGACUUCAUUGAUGACAUACUCAAAGUCCAGCGUGAGCUGCUCCACUGUCAGGAACACGUUCAUUCUAUGAUUCGUGAGCAUCUACUCUAUGCCACACACCGAGGACACGAGUCAACAAGACAGAAAAGGAGCUGACAGUCUACGGUGACAGCAGAUAAAAGCCACAU